ACGUCACAAGACCAGUCGGCUGCCCCGAUUUGAAGUGCGCGUUUGAAGUGUCUUUUUUGACAUCAGAUGGGGUGGCCGUGCGAUAAUUUGGUACGUUGCCUCGGUUUACGCCCUCUGCAACGCACGCUGUUCUUCUGAUAGGAACCAUCGUCUUUUUUCCAUCUGAGCUCAGUAUAAUUUUUUGUCUACUUCUUUAAUUCCACGAAGAGCACCCUGUGCGGAAUUCCUCAGCCCGCUUCCCCUUCUGGCUCGAAAUGGACGCGCCAUGCUCGUCUUCCAAACAGCAAGAUGCCACGACACCUUAUGUGGCCGCGCCCACAAUGUCCGCGACCCUGACAGUCAGGUGUCAACGAUGCGACGUGCGACCGGCAGGCAUUGCUGCAAUGGCCACCCCAUGGAAAACUAUCCUGAUAAGACGAUGUGCUCUGAGCCAUCACGUCGGCUAGACCAGGCCCACGGAUCCAAUUGUCAGGCAAGCGCUCAUUGCGGGCGAUAUUCUGUGCAUUGCAAUCAUUGAACCUCCGUAAAUUUUCCCCGAGUUUGCGUGCUUGUAAUGCUUUAACGUUACCACUGUAGUCGAGCUGCGUUUUAUGCGCUUGCUGUGUGAAAGCCUGUCAGCGGAACGUCUCUCUGUCCACGUCAUGUGCUAGCGUGUUCAGGCUGUUCGCAAGAAGGCACGGCAACGAGGUAGUGCCGUGUGCUUUCACGCCGUGGACUUGAGGUGGUGCUGCCUGCAUGAGCGUCAGAGUAUACCUGUGCAUAUUUCCUCCUCGUGCUCGUUUUUGUGGCUUCCUGUACUACCAAGGAUGAAGUUCGUCACGCCUGCUAGCCAGUGCGAGCCCGGUUCCGUGGAAAUAGCGCUCGCGGAACGAAAGUGACGAUUUUUUUGUUGCCCAUCUAAGGAAGCCAAUGAAGAAACUGAACUAGUCCUGCUACCCCGUUGGGAUUACGCAGUAAACAGGAAUUCGAGGCAACGAGGGCAGCAGUGUUCGAAAGAAGAUAAGAGUCGCGACGAGGAAGCUUCGAGGGGAUUCAACGUAUCUAAAGGAUUUGCUGUGGCUGAAGAGGAACGAGUCGCGGUCGGGCCAGUGUUGCACUUCCUCCGGGACUGAUCCACAUUCCUUCCCACGGACUACGACACAAAAAAAAUGCCGACCAACUAGAGACUGCCAGCUUCGCUGUAAAACACAUGACCUUUCAAAAUGGUCCCAGCCCAACCCAGUACAACAGGCAUGCAUCCAGAAAUACAUUAUGUGCCAUUGGCAAA